AUACCAUGAUGCGGGCACUUCCUUAACAAAUCUUUAAAUCUCUCCCAUGCAUCAUACAGCAAUUCCCUUUUCGUCUGGUUGAAAUUAUUAAUUUCCCCCUCUCAACUU